GCUGGGUGUGGUGGUGCACACUUGUAGUCCCAGCUACUGGGGAGACUGAGGCGGGAGGAUCGCUUGAGCCCAGGAGUUUGAGGCUGUAGUAAGCUGUGAUUGCACCACUGCACUCCAGCCUGGGCAACAGAGUGAGAUCCUGUCUCUU
rfam:Homo sapiens chromosome 17, GRCh38 reference primary assembly.